rnacentral:rRNA from 1 species
CUACGGGGGGCAGCAGUGGGGAAUAUUGCACAAUGGGCGCAAGCCUGAUGCAGCCAUGCCGCGUGAAUGAUGAAGGCCUUAGGGUUGUAAAAUUCUUUCGCUAGGGAUGAUAAUGACAGUACCUAGUAAAGAAGCCCCGGCUAACUUCGUGCCAGCAGCCGCGGUAAUACGAAGGGGGCUAGCGUUGUUCGGAAUUACUGGGCGUAAAGCGCACGUAGGCGGACUUUUAAGUCAGGUGUGAAAUCCCAAGGCUCAACCUUGGAACUGCAUUUGAAACUGGGAGUCUGGAGAUCAGGAGAGGUUAGCGGAAUACCGAGUGUAGAGGUGAAAUUCGUAGAUAUUCGGUGGAACACCAGUGGCGAAGGCGGCUAACUGGACUGAUACUGACGCUGAGGUGCGAAAGUGUGGGGAGCAAACAGGAUUAGAUACCCGCGUAGUC